AUUCAAGAAAGGCUGGGGAAAUACAGACUUUCAGUUGGGCCCAUUGUCACUCCCAAAUAAAAUCAUGGUUCUGGAACCAACAAAAAAGGGCAGAAUGGAUAUUGGUUUGGCAGCCAGUUGCCUCUGCCACAACAGGCAAUGAAGCAAAGGAACGUCAUUCUAUGAGAAAGUGAUGCUGAUGCUGAGAGAUGCAGAAUUAAGAGGAGUUAACCAGCCAUGAUGGAUGGCUAUAUUGGCAUUCCCAGUCCACGGCCAAGAACCUCGAGCUCUGAGGAGGUUCCAGCAGGGACUAGACAGUCAGAAGACUGAGGUUGGUCCAUGCAUCUCUCUGGCUCCCUCCGUCCCAGCAGGUGAACGUGCUCUGCUCCAGCCACGGCUCAGGCAACCCGACUUCUCUGACACCAUACCUCUGUCUGCGGGUCUUUAACCACCCCCUCACCUUGCCGCUCUGCCUAGGAUGACAGUUUUCCUACCAUUGCUUGCUCCGUCCCUUAUUGGUCUCCCUUGCUCACAUCUCUAUAAACAGUAAAUUCUCCACAAUUACCUUCUUUGCAUGUGCCAAUAUUUCCUCUGGGGACCCUGCCUGAUGCGUACCAAC
rnacentral:lncRNA from 1 species